GUGAGGAAUAUUGGUCAAUGGACGAGAGUCUGAACCAGCCAAGUCGCGUGAAGGAAGACGGUUCUAUGAAUUGUAAACUUCUUUUGUGCAGGAAUAAAGUGGGUUACGUGUAACCUUUUGUAUGUACUGUACGAAUAAGGAUCGGCUAACUCCGUGCCAGCAGCCGCGGUAAUACGGAGGAUCCGAGCGUUAUCCGGAUUUAUUGGGUUUAAAGGGUGCGUAGGUGGAUUGAUAAGUCAGCGGUGAAAGUUUGCAGCUUAACUGUAAAAUUGCCGAUGAAACUGUCGGUCUUGAGUGCAAAUGAGGUAGGCGGAAUGUGUUGUGUAGCGGUGAAAUGCUUAGAUAUAACACAGAACUCCGAUUGCGAAGGCAGCUUACUGGGAUGCAACUGACACUGAUGCACGAAAGCGUGGGUAUCAAACAGGAUUAGAUACCCUAGUAGUCC
rnacentral:rRNA from 1 species